rnacentral:rRNA from 1 species
GAUGAACGCUGGCGGCGUGCCUAACACAUGCAAGUCGAGCGGAGUAAGCCACCGGAUGAAGAUUCGUCGGAUUCCACCGGUUUACUUAGCGGCGGAUGGGUGAGUAACGCGUGGACAACCUGCCCUUCACUGGGGGAUAACAACCGGAAACGGGUGCUAAUACCGCAUGGGCGCGACGGGCCGCAUGACCUGUAGCGUAAAGAUUUAUCGGUGAAGGAUGGGUCCGCGUCGGAUUAACUAGUUGGCGGGGUAACGGCCCACCAAGGUGAUGAUCCGUAGCCGGCCUGAGAGGGCGACCGGCCACAUUGGGACUGAGACACGGCCCAAACUCC